rnacentral:lncRNA from 1 species
AGCCCUCGUGGUGCUUCGUGGUCAGCACCACAUACCUGGCACCGGCCCGCUGGAAGAGCCGGGCCCACUCAUGGGGCUGGAAGUCGUAGGCGGUGAAAUGGGGCGCGAAGUCCGCGUAGGAGGCGGCGGGCGGGAACCGCUGCUGCAUGAAGCGCUCGUAGUCGGCGCGGUGCUCCCCCUGCCAGUGCCACCAGAACCACUCGGAGCCCCAGGCGGGGACGGAGAACACGCC